rnacentral:rRNA from 1 species
UACGUAGGGGGCAAGCGUUGUCCGGAAUCAUUGGGCGUAAAGAGCGUGUAGGCGGCCAGAAAAGUCCGCUGUGAAAUCCCGAGGCUCAACCUCGGGUCUGCAGUCGAUACGGGCAAACUAGAGUAUUGCAGGGGAGACUGGAAUUCCUGGUGUAGCGGUGAAAUGCGCAGAUAUCAGGAGGAACACCGGUGGCGAAGGCGGGUCUCUGGGCAGUAACUGACGCUGAGGAGCGAAAGCGUGGGGAGCGAACAGG